UUUUUUAGGCUAAUAUUCUCUUAUUCCUAACCAAACAUCAUCCUUCUUCUUGGGUGAGUGAAUAAAGAAGAUGACCAUGAGAUAUGCUUCAACACUGAGAAGCUUCACCAGACACAUGCUAACAACUGGAAAAGAUGAAGCCAUAUGAAUAUACUUGCCAACUGAAGUUAACCGUGCAUCUGAUGAAGUGAUUUCCAUUAUACGAAAGUUAAUGCCAAGCUUAUAACAAUGAAGUACCAAGCAGGACAGCUGGGGAAAAGAUUAGACCGUCUUCCAGUAAUAUUUGAUGGAUUUCAUAGUGCUUUCCCAUCACCAUUUUUCCUUCCAUCGAAGAGAAAUGCAUCCUGUAGCAAUUUGAAGCUCCUGACGGGCGAUUUCUCGUGAUUCUUUUGAUAGAUUUCAACUGUUUUCUGUAAAGAAGUUAAGAUUCAAUGACAACAACACUGUUCAAUGAUUGUGCUAUGCCACAAGACUUAAUGUUCUGUGUGUCUCCAAUCAUUUUGGUUUGUAAAGCAGGCUUUAUAGCUUAGUUUAAUGCAUGAACCAGAAAAAAAUGAUUUAUACAACAAAUCAUUUAUAAUAAUAAAAACAACAACAACAAUAGUUGUUUAUUAUUAUUAUCCAAGAUGAAACAAAAUAGCAAAACUAUUACCCAUUAAUUAAUUAACCCAUUAAUUAAUUAAUUAAUUAACCCAUUGAGUAAGAAUUAAUUUUUUUUUUACGAAUACCCCUGAGGUAUAGAUACAGAAUGCAUGUUGUUUAAAUAAAAGUUGGCAACAUUGUUGAAAACCCCUGAAUAUUGAUCUGAUAACAUGAGAUAGAUGUUAUUUCUGUCUAGCCUCAUAAGUUCACCAUGCAAAGGUAGUCUCCUUCAGAUUGAACUUGAUUCCUGGUCUCUUCAUGUUUUUUAGAGGCAUGAUAGUAACAGCUUGCUAUUGCCUUUUUCCUGAUUUUUUUUAAUUCUCAGGUUUUAUUUAUUUAUUCGUAUCACAUCUUUUUUGUUUUUAUAAAUAAAACAGCAAACUUGUUUAUGUAUGUACCUUCCUCCUAUUUUUCUCACAACAACUCUAUGAAGUGAGUCGGCCUGAGAGAGAGCGACUGGCCCUAAGUCACCCACUGGCUUUCAUGGCUAGGGUGGGAUUUGAACUCACAAUCUUCUGCUUUCUAACCUGGUGCCUUAACUUCCAGCUCAAGUGUUGCAUGGUAGUCUCCCAUUCAAAUUACCACCGGGUUAAGCCCUACUUACUGUCUGGUUUGGUUCUGCAACCCAACAAGACAGACACAGACUUCAGAGGAUAAUUAGAAUUGCAGAAAAAAUAAUUGCUACCAACCUGCCUUCCAUUGAGGACCUGUAUACUGCAUGAAUCAAAAAGAGAGCUGUGAAAAUAUUUACAGACCCCUCGCAUCCUGGACAUAAACUGUUUCAACUCCUACCCUCAAAACGAUGCUACAGAGCACUGCAUAUCAGAACAACUAGACACAAGAACAGUUUUUCCCCGAACGCCAUCACUCUGCUAAACAAAUAAUUUUCUCAACACUGUCAAACUAUUGACUAAAUCUCCACUACUAUUAAUCUUCUCACCGUUCCCAUCACCCAUCUCCUUCCAUUUAUGACUGUAUGACUGAACUUCAUUGCUUGUAUCCUUACGAUUUAUAUUGAUAUUGAUUGUUUCCUGAUUGCUUAUUUGUACCCUAUGACUAUCAUUAAGUGUUGUACCUUAUGUUUCUUGAUGAACAUAUUUUUCUUUUAUGUACACUGAGAGCAUAUGCACCAAGACAAAUUCCUUGUGUGUCCAAUCACACUUGGCCAAUAAAAACAUUUCUAUUCUAUUCUAUUCUAUUCUAUUCUAUUCUAUUCUAUUCUAUUCUAUUCUAUUCUAUUCUAUUCUAUUCUAUUCUAUUCUUAAAUUUCCAAGCCUAGAAAGGUCACCCCUGGUAUUACACCUGCUAAGCCACACUGACUUUUUAGGGAACUGCAUAAAUAUGAUAGAAGUCAUUUUAAAAUGGGCAAUAUCAUAAUUCCUACACCCCACUGUUCUAGGCUGCCAGGUUUGCAUGCAUGCACAUCCAUCUCAUGGGAUGGGGGUGUUGCCACAUUUCCCCUUCAGGAGCACCAAGAUUUAGAAAUUGAAUUAAGAGAAUGUGUUUCAGACUUCUAUCUGUUGCCAUUAUCCCCCCUUUCUGGAAAACUCUGUCCAAAGCUCAUUACUUAAUGGGUAUUCUAAUGUGAUCAAAUAUUGGUUUAAAAAACCCUGUCAUGUAUAUCUCCUUUCAAUACUUUUUUCCAGUAUGAUUUAAAAUCUUCAUUCAUAGGUAUGCCAGAAAACCAUAGGUAAAAGUUAAUUUGAUACUACAGUUUAAUCAAUAAAGCCAAGUUAAUUUCCAAUAGACACAAUUCCGGAAUCUACAUGUAAUGAAGAAUUGGAAAAAAGUGCCAAAAAUAGAGCUUGCUUCAGCCCUCCUGAGGUAGAGAUUUACUUAGAUAUCCAGCCUAAGCUGUCUGUCAGUUCUGCAAUGAGGUAUUAUUGCUCUAUAUUUUAAUCUGCAUAAAUAGUAACUGGUUAAUAGAUUCUUGCUUCUUCCAUCGCUGGGGAUAGAAUCAACCAUUCCUUUCAACACCAUAAAUAUAUAUAUAGAAGGAUACUUCUAUCUUGUAGGGUAUUAUUUCUUGGUGAUUGACCUUCAUUAAACCACCAGUGGAUAGAUGCAGGGGGUCACUGUAGUCCUUUGUUAACCCUACAAUAUCACAAAACAAAGCUAUUUCAGCUUUUAUUUAUUUAUUUUGUCACACAGUAUAUAUAAGCGUAAGUAUGAAAUAACUAUACAAUAUAUAAGCAUAUAUAUAAUUAUGAGUAUGUAAUAACUAUAUUAAUUGGAUAUAACGAAAGGAAACAAUAGGACAGGAAUGGAAGGCUCUGCAGGAAGAGACCCAUGGGAUGCACAGCCCAAUAUGUUUGAAGAGUACCAGGUAAGGAAAUCUUGUAAUGGUGAGCUGCAUACCUAGGGAAUAAUUUUAAUUGCAUCAGGUAAAAAUGUGGAAUGUGGCUACUGGAGGAAUGAUAUUUAUUUCUCUAAUCUUUGAUGUCCUCCUAAUAGUACUUAGAAUUCAAAGUUAU